AAAUUUCCUCCUUAUAAAAGUGACCAUGUGACUUGGAUGCUUGUGUUUAUUGAGCACUUACUAUAGGCCUUUCAUCUCUCCAGGUCAGAAGGAAACUACUUGCUCAAAAGGAGACCAGAGGAAUGAAAAUGUGGUAUAACCAGGAGUUGCGAAGUGGUCGUAGUUGUUCAUGUCUCAAUCUGGAUCAUCUUUGCUUUUUGCUUCUGCUUUGUGCUAUCCCUCUUCCCGUACCUCAGUUCUAUCUGGAACCAUGAUCUGUGACUGCCAUGGAAAAGUGUUGGGCAGGAGGAGGCCAGCUGGGUCUUUGAAGUUGACAAUGGAGCCAGGAAUGAAAGCUGCACUUAGGAUGAGAAUUGCUUUCCCUGGAGCCAAGUCAGCAAAUGCAGUCUGGUUGUCAGAGCUGAGAGGCUUCACCAAGUCAAGUAGGGGAGGACAUCUUCACUCUGCAACUUGCCCUACUGAAUGCAGAAAGUACUGUCUACUUAGAUAAAGCCUACACUAAAAGGGAAUUGAAUCUCUGCAAAUAAGUAUGUGGAUCUAAUUUCUACCUUCCAGAUUAAAAGUAUAAU
rnacentral:lncRNA from 1 species